rnacentral:rRNA from 1 species
UGCGCAGGCGGUCCUGUGCGUCGGCGCUGAAAGCGCCCGGCUUAACCGGGCGAGGUGCGGCGAUACGAUAGGACUGGAGGCUCGGAGAGGGUGGCGGAACUCCUGGUGUAGUGGUGAAAUGCGUAGAGAUCAGGAAGAACACCCGUGGCGCAAGCGGCCACCUGGCCGAGACCUGACGCUGAGGCACGAGAGCGUGGGGAGCGAACCGGAUUAGAUACCCGGGUAGUCCACGCCGUAAACGAUGUCGACUCGGUGUGCGUGGUCCGUUAAGGACUAUGUGUGCCUUAGCUCACGCGGGAAGUCGACCGCCUGGGGACUACGAGCGCAAGCUUAAA